AUUGAACGCUGGCGGCAGGCCUAACACAUGCAAGUCGAGCGGAUGAAGGGAGCUUGCUCGUGGAUUCAGCGGCGGACGGGUGAGUAAUGCCUGGGAAUCUGCCUGGUAGUGGGGGAUAACGUCCGGAAACGGGCGCUACUACCGCCUACGUCCUGAGGGUGCAAGUGGGGGGGCUUCGGACUUGGCGGUUUGAGAUGGACCCAAGUGUUAUUAGCCAGUUUGUGGGGUAGUGGCUUACCAAGGCUUUGAUGGGUAGCCGGCCUGAGAGGGUGACCGGCCACAUUGGGACUGGGAUACGGCCCAGACUCCUACGGGAGGCAGCAGUGGGGAAUAUUGCACAAUGGGCGGAAGCCUGAUGCAGCAACGCCGCGUGCGGGAUGACGGCCUUCGGGUUGUAAACCGCUUUCGCCUGUGACGAAGCGUGAGUGGCGGUAAUGGGUAAAGAAGCACCGGCUAACUACGUG
rnacentral:rRNA from 1 species